AAUUCGCCCUUAGAGUUUGAUCAUGGCUCAGGACGAACGCUGGCGGCGUGCCUAACACAUGCAAGUCGAACGAAGCUACUUGGUUAGCUUGCUAACCGGGUAGACUUAGUGGCGGACGGGUGAGUAACACGUGGGUAACCUACCUGGGAGACCGGGAUAACAGCUCGAAAGGGCUGCUAAUACCGGAUGAAGUAUGAGUAAUUAGAUUUACUUGUACCAAAGGCGUUAAGUAGUGCUCCUGGAUGGGCCCGCGGCUCAUUAGCUAGUUGGUAGGGUAAAGGCUUACCAAGGCGAUGAUGGGUAGCCGGUCUGAGAGGAUGGUCGGCCACACUGGGACUGAGAACGGCCCAGACUCCUACGGGAGGCAGCAGUGGGGAAUAUUGCGCAAUGGGGGCAACCCUGACGCAGCGACGCCGCGUGAGUGAAGAAGGCCUUCGGGUUGUAAAGCUCUGUCUGGGGGGAAGAAGGAGACGGUACCCCCGGAGGAAGCCCCGGCUAACUACGUGCCAGCAGCCGCUAUAAGACGUGGGGGGCGAGCGUUGUCCGGAAUUACUGGGCGUAAAGGGCGUGUAGGCGGCCUAUCAAGUCGAUGGUGAAAGCCCUCGGCUCAACCGAGGAAUUGCCAUUGAAACUGGUGGGCUUGA
rnacentral:rRNA from 1 species